ensembl:miRNA Mir3062 microRNA 3062
GCCAUGGUGAGGAAGCCAGGGAGAAUGUAGUGUUACCGUGAGCCUGUCAGCAAAUACCACUCACGGGGACACACUUUCUCCUUCAUGGGUCUCCCCACUGCAGGC